UGCAAGACUGGAAUGAAAGUGCCAGGAGAGAUGUGAAAAGCCUUGAGCUGCUUGACCUGCAGGUGGAAAAUUUGUUUUCUUUCUUUCUUUCGCAUCAACAGUAAACAAGCAGAAACACAGGUCUCUGGGCAUGAGGGAGGAUCUGGGCUUUUGGAAGUACCUCUCAUCUGGAGUGAACGAAGCAGAAGAUGUCUGUGAAAAAAUCCUAAUUUUACAGCUUGGAAAGUUCUUAAAACUUUCAGGAUGAAUGAGAACAGCAUCCAAUUUUCAUUCUGAAAGGAC